rnacentral:rRNA from 1 species
UACGAAGGGGGCUAGCGUUGCUCGGAAUGACUGGGCGUAAAGGGCGCGUAGGCGGAUGGCUAAGUCAGAUGUGAAAUUCCCGGGCUUAACCUGGGGGCUGCAUUUGAUACGUGUUGUCUAGAGUGAGGAAGAGGGUUGUGGAAUUCCCAGUGUAGAGGUGAAAUUCGUAGAUAUUGGGAAGAACACCAGUGGCGAAGGCGACUCACUGGCCCGGUACUGACGCUGAGGCGCGAAAGCGUGGGGAGCAAACAGG